CGUUCUGUUGCCGAAUUGGUAAAGGCUGUGGUAAAGGCAUCGCCGAUCACAGGAGAGGGUGCGGGUUCGAGUCCCGCUGGAACGA
rnacentral:tRNA from 1 species